rnacentral:lncRNA from 1 species
GCUGCCUGCGAAAGAUUGGGUCAAUUGUCAUAGGUUUCUUGCUGUAAUCUACUGUUAAGCGGAUAACCUCUCCAUCAGCAGGUCCUGCACCAAGUACCAACAGCUCCUCACUGAAAUUUGCGAAUGCCAGCGUACGGACUAGCCCAUCAAAUUUUCCAGAUGAAAGGCGCCAUGGAGUGCCCCGGGUGCCUGAAGCCAGGGUUUCACCAAGACCAGGAGCAAUCUCUGCCUCAACGGAAUUAUGAUCAUGGUCUGUUGGGCUGAGCGUAUGGAGCACAAAGGACAGAUCUGGUGAAAGCAAUUCCUGGACCAGGACUGCCAUUGUAGCGUCCUUCUGUGCCACUCCAGCAGCUCGUCGGCUUAAAACUGCUCUCCUAGUGUACAGUGAAGCCCAGACACGGCUAACAGCAUUUCCAAAAACUAUUGGAUUUGAGAGGCUAACGUUGGGAAUUGAUUCAUAAAGUCCAGCAGCUGACAUUCCCGCCA